rnacentral:rRNA from 1 species
GGUUGCGAUCAUAACAGCACUAAUGCACCGGAUCCUAUCAGAACUCCGCAGUUAAGCGUGCUUGGGCGAGAGUAGUACUAGGAUGGGUGACCCCCUGGGAAGUCCUCGUGUUGCAACCC